AAGUAUAAGCAUGAUCUGGCUGUGACAUUGUCACCCCAUUGAUCUCCAGGGUUGAUUUGGCUGAUCUGUCUGGCAGGGUAGGUGACCUCUUCUACACUCAUCGCUCCAUGUGCAUCCCUUCCCCAAACAGAGAUGAACCAGUCAGUCAAGGC
rnacentral:snRNA from 1 species